UAGGCUGUUUUUCUCAAGUGUUUGUCACAA
rnacentral:piRNA from 1 species